CAUUCCCACGCAGAAAGAGCGGCCUUUCUUCAGCGCGUCUGCUACCGCCAUGAUAAAACCCUGUCUUUUCAGACGAGGUGGACUCCUAAUAUUCUGGUCAGAGAAGCUACACUUGAUCUGGGACGAUCCAUACUAGGAGAAGAUGGUGAGAACAAGGAGGUCCUAUCGACCUCUUCAGCUACAAGCCAGCAUGCGUGGCAGCCUGCAGAUUCUCUCGGUUUCUUCGUGACUGCGUCUCCGUUUACUAGCCACAACCAUAAUACCAAAGUGUACUGA
rnacentral:lncRNA from 1 species